UACAGAGGUCUCAAGCGUUGUUCGGAUUCAUUGGGCGUAAAGGGUGCGUAGGCGGCGCGGUAAGUCGGGUGUGAAAUCUCGGAGCUUAACUCCGAAACUGCAUUCGAUACUGCCGUGCUUGAGGACUGGAGAGGAGACUGGAAUUUACGGUGUAGCGGUGAAAUGCGUAGAUAUCAUUUGGAACGCCAACGGUGAAAACAGCUCGCUGGGGGUGUGCUGACGCUGAGACACGAAAGCCAGGGGAGCGAACGGG
rnacentral:rRNA from 1 species